rnacentral:misc_RNA from 1 species
GAUGAAGAACGUAGCGAAAUGCGAUAAGUAAUGUGAAUUGCAGAAUUCAGUGAAUCAUCGAAUCUUUGAACGCACCUUGCGCCUUUUGGUAUUCCGAAAGGCACACCUGUUUGAUCGUCAUGAAUACCUCAAUCUCCAUCUUUUCUUCGGAUUGAUGGGUGACUUGGAUGUUGAGCCCUGCUGGUAUGCUAUAUCAGCUGGCUUUAAACUUAUUAGCCGGCUCUGUACUGGAUCGGUUUGACUCGACGUGAUAAUAUUAUCGUUGAGGAUGCAUGUCUCAUGCAGCCGGAAAGUAUCAAAGCAGCUUCUAGCUUGCCUUUAGUGCACUUUUACAUUUUAGACCUCAGAUCAGGUGGGACUACCCGCUGAACUUAAGCAUAUCAAUAAGCGGAGGA